rnacentral:misc_RNA from 1 species
UCCGGUUUGACACCGGCAGUCCCCUUAGAGUCCUCAGCAUUACCUGUUAGUAACUAAGGGCAAAGGUUUCGCUCGUUAAGGGACUUAACCCGACAUCUCACGACACGAGCUGACGACAGCCAUGCAGCACCUGUACCAGUUCCACCCCGAAGGGCGUACCCUACUUUCAUAGGGAUAAUCCUGGCAUGUCAAGCCCAGGUAAGGUUCUGCGCGUUGCUUCGAAUUGAACCACAUGCUCCACCGCUUGUGUGAGCCCCCGUCAAUUCCUUUGAGUUUUAGCCUUGCGACCGUACUUCCCAGGCGGUCGACUUAGCACUUUUGCUUCGACCGUGAAACCGUCAGAGGUUCCACGAUCUAGUCGACAUCGUUUAGGGCCAGGACUAC